rnacentral:rRNA from 1 species
UACGUAGGGUGCAAGCGUUAAUCGGAAUUACUGGGCGUAAAGCGUGCGCAGGCGGUUUUGUAAGUCUGUCGUGAAAUCCCCGGGCUUAACCUGGGAAUUGCGAUGGAGACUGCAAGGCUAGAAUCUGGCAGAGGGGGGGUAGAAUUCCACGUGUAGCAGUGAAAUGCGUAGAGAUGUGGAGGAACACCGAUGGCGAAGGCAGCCCCCUGGGUCAAGAUUGACGCUCAUGCACGAAAGGCGUGGGGAGCAAACGGG